rnacentral:rRNA from 1 species
UUCCGGUUGAUCCCGCCGGAGGCGACCGCUUUUGGAGUUCGAUUAAGCCAUGCGAGUCGAGGGCUUUCGGAGCUCGGCAUACUGCUCAGUAACACGUGGGUAACCUGCCCUAUUGUCUGGAAUAACCUCGGGAAACUGAGAACAAAGCCGGAUAACCCACAAUGCCUGGAACGGUUUGUGGGUGAAGAUAGGAUGGGUCUGCGGCGUAUCAGGUCGUAGGGGGUGUAAUGGACCUCCUAGCCAUCGACGCGUACGGGUGUUGGGAGACAUAGCCCGGAGAUGGAUUCUGAGACACGAAUCCAGACCCUACGGGGUGCAGCAAGCGCGAAAACUUCACACUGCAGGAAACUGUGAUGAGGGAACUCCAAGUGCUAUCACUAUGUGGUAGCUUUUCUUAACUAUUAAUCGGUUUUGGAAUAAGGGCUGGGAAAGACCGGUGCCAGCCGCCGCGGUAAUACCGGCAGCUCAAGUGGUCGUCGCUUUUAUUGGGCCUAAAACGUCCGUAGCCUGUUUGGUAAAUCUGUGGGUAAAUCAACCAGCUUAACUGGUUGAAUUCUGCAGAGACUGCCAGACUAGGGACCGGGAGAGGUGUGGGGUACUCUAGGGGUAGGGGUAAAAUCCUGU